rnacentral:rRNA from 1 species
AGUGGCGGACGGGUGAGUAACGCGUGAGAAUCUGCCUUGGGGUCGGGGACAACCACUGGAAACGGUGGCUAAUACCGGAUAAGCCGAUUGGUGAAAGAUUUAUUGCCCGAAGAGGAGCUCGCGUCUGAUUAGCUAGUUGGUGAGGUAAGAGCUCACCAAGGCAGCGAUCAGUAGCUGGUCUGAGAGGACGAUCAGCCACACUGGGACUGAGACACGGCCCAGACUCCUACGGGAGGCAGCAGUGGGGAAUUUUCCGCAAUGGGCGAAAGCCUGACGGAGCAAGACCGCGUGAGGGAGGAAGGCUCUUGGGUUGUAAACCUCUUUUCUCAGGGAAGAAGCUCUGACGGUACCUGAGGAAUCAGCCUCGGCUAACUCCGUGCCAGCAGCCGCGGUAAUACGGAGGAGGCAAGCGUUAUCCGGAAUUAUUGGGCGUAAAGCGUCCGCAGGUGGCGAUUCAAGUCUGCUGUCAAAGCACGGGGCUUAACUCCGUAAAGGCAGUGGAAACUGAAUAGCUAGAGUGCCGUAGGGGUAGAGGGAAUUCCCGGUGUAGCGGUGAAAUGCGUAGAGAUCGGGAAGAACAUCGGUGGCGAAAGCGCUCUACUGGACGGCAACUGACACUCACGGACGAAAGCUAGGGGAGCGAAUGGGAUUAGAUACCCC